UACGGAGGUCUCAAGCGUUGUUCGGAUUCAUUGGGCGUAAAGGGUGCGUAGGCGGCGCGGUAAGUCGGGUGUGAAAUCUCGGAGCUUAACUCCGAAACUGCAUUCGAUACUGCCGUGCUUGAGGACUGGAGAGGAGACUGGAAUUUACGGUGUAGCGGUGAAAUGCGUAGAUAUCGUAAGGAAGACCAGUGGCGAAGGCGGGUCUCUGGGCCACUACUGACGCUGAGAAGCGAAAGCAUGGGGAGCGAACAGG
rnacentral:rRNA from 1 species